CCCCAGCUCAAGGUGAGCAGCCACCUCCCCCCUCUUGUAGUACUCUGAUUCAGCCUAGUUCGUGUUCUGUCUGUAGCCCCAAUUUCUUGUGAUAUGAAACUGAUGUGUGCACCUUUUUCGUAUAUAUGUGUAGUGCAGUCUGUAGUGCUAUGAAUUGAUUUCAGAUCAAGUCGAGAAUUUCCCUGCAGUCUGUAGUGCAGUCUGUAGUGCUACGAACUACUCCUGGAGGAGCCUGCAGCAAGAUCCACGUCAGAGAAGCUGUUCCCCCAGCUCAUUGAGUAGCCCCUCCCCCUCUUGUAUCACUCUAUUUCAGCCUGAAUUUGUGCCUACUGUAUGCGGCCAUCCCCAAUAGUUUGAGAUGGUACACUUCUUGCUGCUACUAUAUGAAUUGGUUUGUACAGUUCUAGUCAGAUUAAUAAUUUUAUUAUGUUGGUAGUACAUGUUCUUGCUGCUGAUUGCUUGUGAGAGGCACGCUAAUUUUUUGGUACAGUUCUAACAUCUGGUGAAUUUAGAAAAAUUGAAUGUUUUGUAUAGUUCUUGCACUUGUACUAUCAUAAAGUGCUA
rnacentral:lncRNA from 1 species